rnacentral:lncRNA from 1 species
GUAUAGCAAAGAAAAUGGAUUGUUGUAUUUUUUUUCAGAGCUUGCCUCAGCGCUAUUUGGAUGAGUAAACAAGUGAGCAGAGAGGUCUAGAGACUGAGAGGCCAGACCAAAAGGAACACUGAAAAAAAAAGCCAUUGUAAUGAAAUGGCAUUUGCCUUAUCCAUGAUCAGGACGGUUGCUUUGGUGAUGUCUGUUUUGCUCCGUGACUGAGGGAAAGAAAACACGACUGGCUCAGAGAUGAUUUCUCCUUCAGAGCAGUCUGAUGCGUCAAUUAUUUCAGGCCUAGAGACACCAUGGAAGAAGGUGUAAAUGCACAGCAGCCAUCUUCUGGAAAACAUAAAGCAAAUAGGUAAGUAUCACAUCUGGCUGUGAAUUACAAUCAGGUGCAAAGUCAGCUGGUGUGUUCAUGUACCUUGUUCCUACUUAAUUUAACUAAACAGAGUAUUUUUUAAAAGUUGCUCUGAAAUCAU